rnacentral:rRNA from 1 species
UACGUAGGGUGCGAGCGUUACUCGGAAUUACUGGGCGUAAAGCGCACGUAGGCGGAUCGAUCAGUCAGGGGUGAAAUCCCAGGGCUCAACCCUGGAACUGCCUUUGAUACUGUCGAUCUGGAGUAUGGAAGAGGUGAGUGGAAUUCCGAGUGUAGAGGUGAAAUUCGUAGAUAUUCGGAGGAACACCAGUGGCGAAGGCGGCUCACUGGUCCAUUACUGACGCUGAGGUGCGAAAGCGUGGGGAGCAAACAGG